UUAGAUGUCAAUGGUUGCACAGAGCUAGGCAAGUUGCCCAAAAACAUGAAAAGACUCGUCAAUCUUAGAUUUCUAUUUAUAACAACAAAGCAAAAGAGUUUGCAAGAAAGUGGAAUACAAUAUCUGGAAAACUUGCAAUUUUUGGGACUCGAAGCAUGCAAAAAUCUCCAAGUUUUGUUCGAAGGUACUUGCCGACUAACUCACCUUCAAGAAUUGGAAAUUGUAGAUUGUGGGAGACCAAUAUCGGUGCCUUUCGAGGAAUUAACCUCCCUAAAGCGUUUGGUUAUUGAAGGUUCCUCGCUCAUGUUGAUCCCGGAGAAAAAGUCCAGCUUUCCUUCGUGUCUUCGUCUUCUGUCAAUAACAAAUUUCGAGCAAGUUAUGGAGCUGCUUCAGUGUCUCAAUGAAUGUGCCUGCACUUUGGAAUCAUUUUGCGUCUAUGAUUGCCCGAGCUUCAUGGCAAUACCCAAAUGGCUGCCCAAUCAUACACGUCUCAAGGAAAUUCGCUUGAUCCGAUGUCCCAACUUAUCAUCCAUGCCACAAGAAAUCCGAUCCCUCGCUGCCCUCAAAGAAUUACACAUCGAACAUUGUGGUGAAUUGAGCAAGAGAUGUCAACAAACAAUUGGUGAGGACUGGUCCAAAAUUGCUCAUGUUCCUCGAGUCCAACUUGAUCUUAAACGGGUACAAUGGACUGAGUGAUAAACUUCCAUGGUUUAUUUGCCAUGCUACGUGAAUCUCUGGAAUUCGAAUGUGUACUCAGCUAUUCCUUCAUGAAGACAAUGAUUGUUUGAGAUUGUACCUAUUACUUUCUUUCCUUUAAUAAGUGUUGCCCUUUA